rnacentral:tRNA from 1 species
UGGCGUAGUGGUCACUGCGCUCGCCUCGCAUGCGGGAGACCCGGGUUCGAUUCCCGG